ACUUCCGUCUUUCAGCAAACGAACGGACGAACGCCGGGCCAAUCGACCUCUCGGGCCAGCCCAAUAUCCACGGCUCUCACAGCAGAGGCUCCUACGGCGCGCAACCCUAAUUCAGUCCCCACCCCACAGUCUCCGACGUCCCCGGCUUAACCGGAGGGCAGCGGCCUCGCGGGCCUUUUUCCUCCCCCAACCUCGUCCUGCGCGUCAGAGCCCCGCGUCUUCCCCCUCAGGCUUCCAUCUGGCCGCCAUCUUGCCGCCCAGUCCUCUGCCUCGGGGCAGCCGCGGUCCGCGCGGGCCACGGAAACCAAACGUCUGGGCCGCGGGGCUGCCUCUCGCCCCGUCUCGCCUCCAGCCUCCCGUCCCCGACCGGGUGCGGCGGCUUUCUCCUCACCAGCGGUGGUGGCGGCAGUCCUCACACAGCAGACGGAACUCGCAGUCUCCACGGAACUAGCUGCGGCACGCCCGGCGUCUCUUUAUAUAGUCACCGAAGCCCCGCCCCCCCCCUUCCGCGCGGUCCCUCCGCGGGCAAUGCGGUCAGGGACUACUUUGUAACGCCGGGUCCAGUCUCGGCAGCGAAAGCGACAGGCUAAAACUAUCAAGGUACCUCUCUCACGGAGUUGUUUCACGGUGGCGUCCAGAGAUUGAGGGGCUUUGUGUGGGAGGGCAGGGCUGUGACCUCGGGCGACUCCGCGGAGGGAUCAGCGCGCGUGAGACGAUCGGCACGAAAACACGGCUGGGAUCACUGAGGCCGGAGCGGGCCUUGGCGCAGGCGCCCUGCGGCUUCGCGGCCUGGCGCCCCUAGUCAGGCCACCACCCCCCACCCCCCCUGUUUUCUUUCCGCGCUAGGGGGACCCAGGGCUUUGGCUCCUGUCACACUGGGAUCCCAUUGGUGACCUCGCCUCCUCAAUCCCCUCAUCCCCGGCGGGUCACUAUGCCCAGCCCUCACUGUUUUGGCACAGUGACAGGGUGGAUGACUGUGCAAAUCUCCUAACAAGGAAAAUGACAAAGGGUUUUUAAUAAAUUUAAAAAAAAAAAAUACGAAGGAGGGAAUCUCUCCCCGAUUUGGAAAAACGAAUCUGAGUUUGUCAAGGAAAGCAGACAGUCUACACAGUUCUUGAAAACUGUUGGCAUUAGAUCUGAAGCCCAGCAGAACCUGAUCUUUCCAGAUUUUUCCUAAACCUUGUGUCCUUGGAUUCGAGAAGGUUCUAUGUUUUCUAUGUGCUUGUCACUAAGUAAAGGUCAAAAUUUCCAAA
rnacentral:lncRNA from 1 species